AUCCUUUUGUAGCUCAUAAGCAUGAAGACUGGGUUUUCAUGCUCACGUGUGAGAUGUGCCUCCCUCCAGCCUUGUUACCACGUCAGCACAUUACUCGUCUGACG